rnacentral:rRNA from 1 species
GACGAACGCUGGAGGCGUGCUUAACACAUGCAAGUCGAACGAUGAAAUGGAGCUUGCUCCAUGGAUUAGUGGCGAACGGGUGAGUAACACGUGAAUAACCUGCCCUUAAUUUUGGAAUAACCCAGGGAAACCUGGGCUAAUACCGGAUAAGUAAACCUGUGGCAUCACAUGGUUUUGGAAAGUUUUUCGAUUAAGGAUGGAUUCGCGGCCUAUCAGCUUGUUGGUGAGGGAAUGGCUCACCAAGGCGACGACGGGUAGCCGGCCUGGGAGGGGGAACGGCCAAACUUGGACUGAGACACGGCCCAGACUCCUACGGGAGGCAGCAGUGGGGAAUAUUGCGCAAUGGACGAAAGUCUGACGCAGCGACGCCUCGUGAGGGACGAAGGUCUUCGGAUUGUAAACCUCUUUCAGCAGGGACGAAGCGAAAGUGACGGUACCUGCAGAAGAAGCACCGGCUAACUAUGUGCCAGCCGCCGCAGUAA